rnacentral:rRNA from 1 species
UUGACGGUGUAGCGGUGAAAUGCAUAGAUAUCGUCAAGAACACCGAUAGCGAAGGCAGCUUACCAAGCUGUAACUGACGCUGAGGCACGAAAGUGUGGGGAUCAAACAGGAUUAGAUACGCAGUGGGGAAUUUUGGACAAUGGGCGCAAGCCUGAUCCAGCCAUGCCGCGUGCGGGAAGAAGGCCUUCGGGUUGUAAACCGCUUUUGUCAGGGAAGAAAUCUCCUGGGCUAAUACCUCGGGGGGAUGACGGUACCUGAAGAAUAAGCACCGGCUAACUACGUGCCAGCAGCCGCGGUAAUACGUAGGGUGCAAGCGUUAAUCGGAAUUACUGGGCGUAAAGCGUGCGCAGGCGGUUUUGUAAGACAGAGGUGAAAUCCCCGGGCUUAACCUGGGAACUGCCUUUGUGACUGCAAGGCUUGAGUGCGGCAGAGGGGGAUGGAAUUCCGCGUGUAGCAGUGAAAUGCGUAGAUAUGCGGAGGAACACCGAUGGCGAAGGCAAUCCCCUGGGCCUGCACUGACGCUCAUGCACGAAAGCGUGGGGAGCAAACAGGAUUAGAUACCCGAGUAGUCC